rnacentral:rRNA from 1 species
CCUACGUGAGGCAGCAGUGAGGAAUAUUGGUCAAUGGGCGCAGGCCUGAACCAGCCAAGUCGCGUGAGGGAAGACUGCCCUAUGGUUUGUAAACUUCUUUUAUAAGGGAAGAAUAUCGACUACGUGUACACAGAUGCCCGUACCUUAUGAAUAAGCAUCGGCUAACACCGUGCCAGCCGCCGCGGUACUACGGUGGAUGAGAUCGUUAUCCGGAUUUAUGGGGUUUAAAGGGUGCGUAGGUGGUAUUUUAGGUAAGUGGUAAAACGUCGGGGCGUCACCUUGAUUGGCCAUUGAAACUGGAGUACUAGAGUACAGACGAGGUAGGCGGAAUGAG